GUAGCGGCGAGCGAACGGGGAGCAGCCCAGAGUCUGAAUCAGCUUGUGUGUUAGUGGAACGGUCUGGAAAGUCCGACGGUACAGGGUGAUAGUCCCGUACACCAAAAUGCACAGGCUGUGAACUCGAAGAGUAGGGCGGGACACGUGGUAUCCUGUCUGAAUAUGGGGGGACCAUCCUCCAAGGCUAAAUACUCCUGACUGACCGAUAGUGAACCAGUACCGUGAGGGAAAGGCGAAAAGAACCCCGGCGAGGGGAGUGAAAAAGAACCUGAAACCGUGUACGUACAAGCAGUGGGAGCACCUUCGGGUGUGACUGCGUACCUUUUGUAUAAUGGGUCAGCGACUUAUAUUCUGUAGCAAGGUUAACCGUAUAGGGGAGCCGCAGGGAAACCGAGUCUUAACUGGGCGUUAAGUUGCAGGGUAUAGACCCGAAACCCGGUGAUCUAGCCAUGGGCAGGUUGAAGGUUGGGUAACACUAACUGGAGGACCGAACCGACUAAUGUUGAAAAAUUAGCGGAUGACUUGUGGCUGGGGGUGAAAGGCCAAUCAAACCGGGAGAUAGCUGGUUCUCCCCGAAAGCUAUUUAGGUAGCGCCUCGUGAAUUCAUCUUCGGGGGUAGAGCACUGUUUCGGCUAGGGGGUCAUCCCGACUUACCAACCCGAUGCAAACUACGAAUACCGAAGAAUGUUAUCACGGGAGACACACGGCGGGUGCUAACGUCCGUCGUGAAGAGGGAAACAACCCAGACCGCCAGCUAAGGUCCCAAAGUCAUGGUUAAGUGGGAAACGAUGUGGGAAGGCACAGACAGCCAGGAUGUUGGCUUAGAAGCAGCCAUCAUUUAAAGAAAGCGUAAUAGCUCACUGGUCGAGUCGGCCUGCGCGGAAGAUGUAACGGGGCUAAACCAUGCACCGAAGCUGCGGCAGCGACACUAUGUGUUGUUGGGUAGGGGAGCGUUCUGUAAGCCUGCGAAGGUGACCUGUGAGGGUUGCUGGAGGUAUCAGAAGUGCGAAUGCUGACAUAAGUAACGAUAAAGCGGGUGAAAAGCCCGCUCGCCGGAAGACCAAGGGUUCCUGUCCAACGUUAAUCGGGGCAGGGUGAGUCGACCCCUAAGGCGAGGCCGAAAGGCGUAGUCGAUGGGAAACAGGUUAAUAUUCCUGUACUUGGUGUUACUGCGAAGGGGGGACGGAGAAGGCUAUGUUAGCCGGGCGACGGUUGUCCCGGUUUAAGCAUGUAGGCUGGUUAUCCAGGCAAAUCCGGAUAAUCAAGGCUGAGGUGUGAUGACGAGGCACUACGGUGCUGAAGUAACAAAUGCCCUGCUUCCAGGAAAAGCCUCUAAGCAUCAGGUAACAU
rnacentral:rRNA from 1 species